GGACUGUUUAGUGUUUUCUCAGCAGUACGCUUGCUGAAGUGAAGGAAACUGCUACAGAAAUUGCACCGCCCAUCACUGCCACUCCUGUUGCAAGCUUCCAUCAUUGUCCAUACUAGAUCAGGGAACAAAGGCACACUUGGCCAAGAAAGGCAGCUGGUCGCUGGCCUCAAGCUACCGUCCACUUAUAUCAUGCCCACUGAGCUGGUUCACUGCACUGAUGUCACAAAAUGAAGCGAACGUCCAAACAUCUGCCAGAUUUUGACAGGACCGUAAAGACUGCAGGUACGCCUGCUGAUGAUGCUGGUACUUCAACCCGGCCGUCUAAAAGUCAGAUCCCCGAAACAUCUGGAGUUACACCAAGGGAGGAGGUCGCUGGUACUUCCACCAGGCCGUCUACAAGUCAGAUUCUCCAAACUUCUGGAGUUUCAUCAGGGGAGGAGGUCGGCACUCUGCCUGCUGAUGAAGCUGGCACGUCCACACGGCUGUCUACAAGUCAGAUCCCCAAGCAUCUGGAGUUACAUCAAGGGAGGAGGUCGCUGGUACCUCCACCAGGCCGUCUACAAGUCAGAUUCUCCAAACUUCUGGAGUUACAUCAGAGGAGGAGGUCAGCACUCUGCCUGCUGAUGAAGCUGGUACGUCCACACGGCUGUCUACAAGUCAGAUCCCCCAAGCAUCUGGAGUUACAUCAAGGGAGGAGGUUGGUGUCACUCAGUCUGCUGAUGAUGUUUCUACCAGGCCGUCUACAAGCCACGCCGUUGGAGUAUCAGAAGACGCAUCCACUUCGGAAAUAUCUGAUCGGACUCUUUCGGAUGUCGCUCGGCGACUUGGUCACGAUUGGACGGAUCUUGCGUAUCAACUCGACUGCACAUAUGCAAACAUCUCAACCUAUGAGGCCAACCACCCAAGAGAUGUCACCCGUCAAAAAGUCCAGAUGCUUGUAGAAUGGAAACAAAGGCAGACUACCACUGGAUGUCAGAUGGACGUGUUGUGUGGAGCAUUGGCUAGGAUCAGCAGAAAUGAUAUCGUCAAGUGUCUUCAAGGAAAUGCACCACUUACUGCUCUGGAGUACAUCCAGCAGCUUGUUUUAAAAUACAACAUGGACACAACCAGCUCCAUCCCUGCACACCCCUUGCAUCCUUCCAGAACCCUGGAUGUUGAACAUUUUUCUCAACUAGUACUCACUCGGGCAUUAAAAGGUAAACGAACAUCAAACGAUGAGAUUUUGUUACCAUCUGGGAAACGAACGUUGGAU